GAUGAAGAACGUAGCGAAAUGCGAUAAGUAGUGUGAAUUGCAGAAUUCAGUGAAUCAUCGAAUCUUUGAACGCACAUUGCGCCCCUUGGUAUUCCAUGGGGCAUGCCUGUUCGAGCGUCAUUUGUACCUUCAAGCUUUGCUUGGUGUUGGGUGUUUGUCCUGAGGGACUCGCCUUAAAGUAAUUGGCAGCCAGUGUUUGGUUUUGAAGCGCAGCACAAGUCGCGAUUCAAAGCUAUACGCCCGCUUCCACAAGCCUUUUUCACUUUUGACAUCGGAUCAGGUAGGGAUACCCGCUGAACUUAAGCAUAUCAAUAAGCGGAGGA
rnacentral:misc_RNA from 1 species